GGAGCGGCGGUGGGGGCAGGGGAGGAGAGUAGAGGAGAAAUAAUCGAAGACAACACAGAACACAGACAUAACACGGAACGGCGAUUUCGGCUCAGCCGCGCGACAACAGAAAAACAAAGGGCACUUGGCCGCCGAAAUUAGACCGAAACAAAAGGGGUUGUGCCUGUUUACUGGCCCCAAUUAGCGCAAACUACCGCCAACUGACCGAGGCGCCGGUGGCCGUGUGUUGCUUCACACACAGGUGUGAGAAAAAAGAAAACAAGUUAAUUAUGAUGGCGAAAAUUAGGCACAUCCGCCCGUGUCGACUGGAUAAAAACGGUGAAGAAAGUAGCAGUCAGGAUCGUGACCAACAGGCUGAAGACACGAGUGACUCCGCCUUCCAGACGGUGCUUGAGGAUGUCAGGGUGCAAAAAGCCGUCAGGUGGGCGUGCGAGGAUGCCCACAAACUGCGCCUUAAACAGAUGAAGGCCAGUUUGACCAAGCACAUUGAUGAUACAGAGUGGAUGUUUGACUCUUUGGACACAAUCCUCGGCUUCAGCAAGUAGUGAUGAUAAAUUAGCAGCCAAUGAAACUUGCUUGAUAUGAGGGACUCUAACCAGACUAAAACGAGAAGAAUGCUGCUAUUUCAUUUAAAUUUUAAGGCUUCUGCCGUCUGUUGCAGUUUUUCACUUAUUCUGUACAGGAACUUACAAUUAGUUUAAAUGUAAAGAGUGGUUCUUCAAUGUAUUUCAUGAAAUAAUCAAAUAAAUUUUAUAAUUGAUACUCUGACCAAA